AGAGCUCCGGAGUGAGGACAAUGACGGAGCAGAGGUCCACGGCUGGGAGGAGCAGUGAGGGCGGGGCCUCGGCGGUGAGGG
rnacentral:snRNA from 13 species